rnacentral:rRNA from 1 species
GGGUUGUGAGGUUAAGCGACUAAGCGUACACGGUGGAUGCCCUGGCAGUCAGAGGCGAUGAAGGGCGUGCUAAUCUGCGAUAAGCGCCGGUAAGGUGAUAUGAACCGUUAUAACCGGCGAUACCCGAAUGGGGAAACCCAGUGUGACUCGUCACACUAUCAUUAACUGAAUCCAUAGGUUAAUGAGGCGAACCGGGGGAACUGAAACAUCUAAGUACCCCGAGGAAAAGAAAUCAACCGAGAUUCCCCCAGUAGCGGCGAGCGAACGGGGAGGAGCCCAGAGCCUGAAUCAGCAUGUGUGUUAGUGGAAGCGUCUGGAAAGGCGCGCGAUACAGGGUGACAGCCCCGUACACAAAAGCGCAUGUGCUGUGAGCUCGAUGAGUAGGGCGGGACACGUGGUAUCCUGUCUGAAUAUGGGGGGACCAUCCUCCAAGGCUAAAUACUCCUGACUGACCGAUAGUGAACCAGUACCGUGAGGGAAAGGCGAAAAGAACCCCGGCGAGGGGAGUGAAAAAGAACCUGAAACCGUGUACGUACAAGCAGUGGGAGCACAGGUUUACCUGUGUGACUGCGUACCUUUUGUAUAAUGGGUCAGCGACUUAUAUUCUGUAGCAAGGUUAACCGAAUAGGGGAGCCGGAGGGAAACCGAGUCUUAAUUGGGCGUUAAGUUGCAGGGUAUAGACCCGAAACCCGGUGAUCUAGCCAUGGGCAGGUUGAAGGUUGGGUAACACUAACUGGAGGACCGAACCGACUAAUGUUGAAAAAUUAGCGGAUGACCUGUGGCUGGGGGUGAAAGGCCAAUCAAACCGGGAGAUAGCUGGUUCUCCCCGAAAGCUAUUUAGGUAGCGCCUCGUGAAUUCAUCUCCGGGGGUAGAGCACUGUUUCGGCUAGGGGGCCAUCCCGGCUUACCAACCCGAUGCAAACUGCGAAUACCGGAGAAUGUUAUCACGGGAGACACACGGCGGGUGCUAACGUCCGUCGUGAAGAGGGAAACAACCCAGACCGCCAGCUAAGGUCCCAAAGUCAUGGUUAAGUGGGAAACGAUGUGGGAAGGCCCAGACAGCCAGGAUGUUGGCUUAGAAGCAGCCAUCAUUUAAAGAAAGCGUAAUAGCUCACUGGUCGAGUCGGCCUGCGCGGAAGAUGUAACGGGGCUAAACCAUGCACCGAAGCUGCGGCAGCGACGCUGAUGCGUUGUUGGGUAGGGGAGCGUUCUGUAAGCCUGUGAAGGUGGCCUGUGAGGGUUGCUGGAGGUAUCAGAAGUGCGAAUGCUGACAUAAGUAACGAUAAAGCGGGUGAAAAGCCCGCUCGCCGGAAGACCAAGGGUUCCUGUCCAACGUUAAUCGGGGCAGGGUGAGUCGACCCCUAAGGCGAGGCCGAAAGGCGUAGUCGAUGGGAAACGGGUUAAUAUUCCCGUACUUGGUGUUACUGCGAAGGGGGGACGGAGAAGGCUAUGCUGGCCGGGCGACGGUUGUCCCGGUUUAAGCGUGUAGGUGUGUGUUCCAGGUAAAUCCGGUUCACUUUAACACUGAGGCGUGAUGACGAGGCACUACGGUGCUGAAGCAACAAAUGCCCUGCUUCCAGGAAAAGCCUCUAAGCAUCAGGUAACAUCAAAUCGUACCCCAAACCGACACAGGUGGUCAGGUAGAGAAUACCAAGGCGCUUGAGAGAACUCGGGUGAAGGAACUAGGCAAAAUGGUGCCGUAACUUCGGGAGAAGGCACGCUGACACGUAGGUGAAGUGAUUUACUCAUGGAGCUGAAGUCAGUCGAAGAUACCAGCUGGCUGCAACUGUUUAUUAAAAACACAGCACUGUGCAAACACGAAAGUGGACGUAUACGGUGUGACGCCUGCCCGGUGCCGGAAGGUUAAUUGAUGGGGUCAGCGCAAGCGAAGCUCCUGAUCGAAGCCCCGGUAAACGGCGGCCGUAACUAUAACGGUCCUAAGGUAGCGAAAUUCCUUGUCGGGUAAGUUCCGACCUGCACGAAUGGCGUAAUGAUGGCCAGGCUGUCUCCACCCGAGACUCAGUGAAAUUGAACUCGCUGUGAAGAUGCAGUGUACCCGCGGCAAGACGGAAAGACCCCGUGAACCUUUACUAUAGCUUGACACUGAACAUUGAGCCUUGAUGUGUAGGAUAGGUGGGAGGCUUUGAAGUGUGGACGCCAGUCUGCAUGGAGCCGACCUUGAAAUACCACCCUUUAAUGUUUGAUGUUCUAACGUGGACCCGUAAUCCGGGUUGCGGACAGUGUCUGGUGGGUAGUUUGACUGGGGCGGUCUCCUCCUAAAGAGUAACGGAGGAGCACGAAGGUUGGCUAAUCCUGGUCGGACAUCAGGAGGUUAGUGCAAUGGCAUAAGCCAGCUUGACUGCGAGCGUGACGGCGCGAGCAGGUGCGAAAGCAGGUCAUAGUGAUCCGGUGGUUCUGAAUGGAAGGGCCAUCGCUCAACGGAUAAAAGGUACUCCGGGGAUAACAGGCUGAUACCGCCCAAGAGUUCAUAUCGACGGCGGUGUUUGGCACCUCGAUGUCGGCUCAUCACAUCCUGGGGCUGAAGUAGGUCCCAAGGGUAUGGCUGUUCGCCAUUUAAAGUGGUACGCGAGCUGGGUUUAGAACGUCGUGAGACAGUUCGGUCCCUAUCUGCCGUGGGCGCUGGAGAACUGAGGGGGGCUGCUCCUAGUACGAGAGGACCGGAGUGGACGCAUCACUGGUGUUCGGGUUGUCAUGCCAAUGGCACUGCCCGGUAGCUAAAUGCGGAAGAGAUAAGUGCUGAAAGCAUCUAAGCACGAAACUUGCCCCGAGAUGAGUUCUCCCUGAGACUUUAAGUCUCCUGAAGGAACGUUGAAGACGACGACGUUGAUAGGCCGGGUGUGUAAGCGCAGCGAUGCGUUGAGCUAACCGGUACUAAUGAACCGUGAGGCUUAACCUUACAACGCCGAAG